rnacentral:rRNA from 1 species
GACGGACGCUGGCGGCGUGCCUAACACAUGCCAGUCGAACGGAGAGUUUAGAAACGAGAAUUUCGGUUCAAGUUUUUAAACUUCUUAGUGGCGGACGGGUGAGUAACGAGUGAGCAAUUAGCCUUUCAGAGGGGGAUAACAACCUGAAACGUCUGCUAAUACCGCAAAACGCGCUUGAGUGGUAUCACUUAGACAACAAGGGAGCAAUCCGCUGAAAGAUGAGCUCGUGUCCAAAUAGGUAGUGGGUGAGGUAACGGCCCACCAAGCCGACGAUUGGUGGCCGGACUGAGAGGUGGAACGGCCACAUUGGGACUGAGACACGGCCCAGACUCCUACGGGGGGCAGCGGUGAGGAAUAUUGCACAAUGGGCGAAAGCCGGAUGCAGCAACGCCGCGUGAGGAAAGACGGCCUUCGGGUUGUAAACCUCUGUACACAGUGACGAAACUAAUGACGGUAGCUGAGGAAGAAGCCACGGCUAACUACGUGCCAGCAGCCGCAGUAAAAC